rnacentral:rRNA from 1 species
GACGAACGCUGGCGGCGUGCUUAACACAUGCAAGUCGAACGGAAAGGCCCUGCUUGCAGGGUACUCGAGUGGCGAACGGGUGAGUAACACGUGGGUGAUCUGCCCUGCACUUCGGGAUAAGCCUGGGAAACUGGGUCUAAUACCGGAUAGGAGCCAUUUUUAGUGUGAUGGGUGGAAAGUUUUUUCGGUGUAGGAUGAGCGCGCGGCCUUUCAGCUUGUUGGUGGGGUAAUGGCCUACCCAGGCGGCGACGGGGAGCCGGCCUGGGAGGGUGGACGGCCACAUUGGGACUGGGAUACGGCCCAGACGCCUACGGGGGGCAGCAGGGGGGAAUAUUGCACCAGGGGCGGAAGCCUGAAUCAACGACGCCGCGUGGGGGGUGGCGGCCUUCGGGUUGUAAACUCCUUUCGCUAGGGACGAAGCUGUGUGUGACGGUACUUAGAUAAGAAGCACCGGCUAACUACGUG